rfam:Shewanella oneidensis MR-1, complete genome.
GGGCAAUAUAGAGGCCGCAAUCUAUGGGCGGUAGCGUG